UAGGCCGCUACAGCGGGCUGCACGAAAUUCAAAGUUAUUUUCAGACCUAAAACGUUAUUUUACUCCCAAAACUCAUCCAAGGUCAUGCUUGGGCAAGGGAGGAGUGAUUUAUUCAGUUUUUCAGAUUUUCUUCUUCAAGGUGAAUUAUUGGUGGCAAAGCCUUGGAAUGGGUGGAAAAAUCAUAUGAGGUUGGCCUAAGAUUUGAGAUUUGAAUAUAAUCUAGAAAUAUUUAGGCCAUUUGUGAUUGAUUUUGUAUUAUACUAUUAUUUUAGACCAAGAACAAACUAAAGUUUCACAAAAGAAGUCAAGAUUCGCGAUCA